rnacentral:tRNA from 1 species
AAGGCGCUAGUUAAACCAUAACAUUAAAUUGUCAAAUUAAAAUUGCCAAUGGCGCGCCUUA